UACGGAGGGAGCUAGCGUUGUUCGGAAUUACUGGGCGUAAAGCGCACGUAGGCGGUUAUUCAAGUCAGAGGUGAAAGCCCAGUGCUCAACACUGGAACUGCCUUUGAAACUAGAUAGCUUGAAUCCAGGAGAGGUGAGUGGAAUUCCGAGUGUAGAGGUGAAAUUCGUAGAUAUUCGGAAGAACACCAGUGGCGAAGGCGGCGCACUGGACUGGUAUUGACGCUGAGGUGCGAAAGCGUGGGGAGCAAACAGG
rnacentral:rRNA from 1 species